GACGACGCUGGCGGCGUGCCUAAUACAUGCAAGUCGAACGCGUGGCGGACGGGUGCGUAACACGUGCUCACCUACCCAUCAGCGGGGGCUAACACUUGGACACCGGUGCUAAUACUUCAUACUGACGGCUGAACCCGCGGUGCAUUAGCUAGUUGGUGGGGUAACGGCUUACCAAGGCGACGAUCCCUAGCUGGUCUGAGAGGAUGACCAGCCACACGUGAACUGAGACACGGUCCAGACUCCUACGGGAGGCAGCAGUGGGGAAUAUUGCACAAUGGGCGCAAGCCUGAGACAGCCAUGCCGCGUGUAUGAAGAAGGCGUUCGGGUUGUAAAGUACGUUCAGCGGGGAGGCGUUACCCGCAGAAGAAGCACCGGCUAACUCCGUGCCAGCAGCCGCGGUAAUAC
rnacentral:rRNA from 1 species